GGUGGCUCAGUGGUAGAGUGCUUGCCUUGCAAGUGUGAGGCCCUGGGUUCAAAUCCUCAGCACCA
rnacentral:tRNA from 1 species